rnacentral:rRNA from 1 species
AGCGACGGACGGGUGAGUAACACGUGGGCAACCUGCCUCAUAGAGGGGAAUAGCCCUCCGAAAGGAAGAUUAAUACCGCAUAAGAUUGUAGCUUCGCAUGAAGCAGCAAUUAAAGGAGCAAUCCGCUAUGAGAUGGGCCCGCGGCGCAUUAGCUAGUUGGUGAGGUAACGGCUCACCAAGGCGACGAUGCGUAGCCGACCUGAGAGGGUGAUCGGCCACAUUGGGACUGAGACACGGCCCAGACUCCUACGGGAGGCAGCAGUGGGGAAUAUUGCACAAUGGGGGAAACCCUGAUGCAGCAACGCCGCGUGAGCGAUGACGGUCUUCGGAUUGUAAAGCUCUGUCUUCAGGGACGAUAAUGACGGUACCUGAGGAGGAAGCCACGGCUAACUACGUGCCAGCAGCCGCGGUAAUACGUAGGUGGCGAGCGUUGUCCGGAUUUACUGGGCGUAAAGGGAGCGUAGGCGGACUUUUAAGUGAGAUGUGAAAUACUCGGGCUUAACCUGAGUGCUGCAUUUCAAACUGGAAGUCUAGAGUGCAGGAGAGGAGAAGGGAAUUCCUAGUGUAGCGGUGAAAUGCGUAGAGAUUAGGAAGAACACCAGUGGCGAAGGCGCUUCUCUGGACUGUAACUGACGUUGAGGCUCGAAAGCGUGGGGAGCAACAGGAUUAGAUACCCUGGUAGUCCACGCCGUAAACGGUGAAUACUAGGUGU